CCUGCUCAAUGAUCAUUUUAAUAGCCGCAAUUCUGUGCUAAGGUAGCAUAAUAAUUUGUCUUCUAAUUAAAGAAUAGAAUGAAUGGAUUUUCUAAUUAUAAACUAUUUUAAAUUUAAAUAAUUAAAUUAAAAAAAAUGUAAAAAAUCAUUUAAACCAAGAAAAGACGACAAGACCCUAUUGAAUUUUACUUUAAGUUUAACUGGGGUGGUUAAAUUUAUAAAAACUUAUUUUAACUCAAUUAAAAAUCAUUUUUAAAAUAUAAAACAAAUUACCAUAGGGAUAACAGUACAAUUUUUUACUACAGAUCUUAUUUAAUAAAAAAAUUGUAACCUCGAUGUUGAAUUAUAUUAACUUAUUUAUGAAAAAAUUUAUAAAGUAAGUCUGUUCGACUUAUAAAAAUUUACAU
rnacentral:rRNA from 1 species